GAUGAACGCUGGCGGCGUGCCUAAUACAUGCAAGUCGAGCGAACGGACGAGAAGCUUGCUUCUCUGAUGUUAGCGACGGACGGGUGAGUAACACGUGGAUAACCUACCUAUAAGACUGGGAUAACUUCGGGAAACCGGAGCUAAUACCGGAUAAUAUUUUGAACCGCAUGGUUCAAAAGUGAAAGACGGUCUUGCUGUCACUUAUAGAUGGAUCCGCGCUGCAUUAGCUAGUUGGUAAGGUAACGGCUUACCAAGGCAACGAUGCAUAGCCGACCUGAGAGGGUGAUCGGCCACACUAGAACGGAGACACGGUCCAGACUCCUACGGGAGGCAGCAGUAGGGAAUCGUCCGCAAUGGGCGAAAGCCUGACGGAGCAACGCCGCGUGAGUGAUGAAGGUCUUCGGAUCGUAAAACUCUGUUAUUAGGGAAGAACAUAUGUGUAAGUAACUGUGCACAUCUUGACGGUACCUAAUCAGAAAGCCACGGCUAACUACGUG
rnacentral:rRNA from 1 species